UCGAGGGAGGAAGGCUCUUGGGUUGUAAACCUCUUUUCUCAGGGAAGAAGCUCUGACGGUACCUGAGGAAUCAGCCUCGGCUAACUCCGUGCCAGCAGCCGCGGUAAUACGGAGGAGGCAAGCGUUAUCCGGAAUUAUUGGGCGUAAAGCGUCCGCAGGUGGCGAUUCAAGUCUGCUGUCAAAGCACGGGGCUUAACUCCGUUAAGGCAGUGGAAACUUCUGGACUAGAGAGUGGUAGGGGUAGAGGGAAUUCCUAGUGUAGCGGUGAAAUGCGUAGAUAUUAGGAAGAACACCAGUGGCGAAGGCGCUCUACUGGGCCAUUACUGACGCUGAUGGACGAAAGCUAGGGGAGCGAAAGGGAUUAGAUACCCCUGUAGUC
rnacentral:rRNA from 1 species